rnacentral:rRNA from 1 species
UACGGAGGGAGCAAGCGUUACUCGGAAUUACUGGGCGUAAAGCGCACGUAGGCGGAUUUGUAAGUCAGGGGUGAAAUCCCGGGGCUCAACCUCGGAACUGCCUUUGAUACUGCAAGUCUCGAGUCCGAUAGAGGUGAGUGGAAUUCCUAGUGUAGAGGUGAAAUUCGUAGAUAUUAGGAAGAACACCAGUGGCGAAGGCGGCUCACUGGAUCGGUACUGACGCUGAGACGCGAAAGCGUGGGGAGCGAACAGG